UCUACAAACUCUGCUUCCAGAGUUCAUCUCGGCUUCCUCCAAGCUCCACAGCACUUUGUUCGGAUCUCCCCUGCACUGUGGCACCCACCGGACCAUACACCAGGCAAGAAAAAGGACCAUGACAGAGCGUCUCAGGGGGCGGAACAGCUCAGAGUCACCUCCGCCCCCACCCCAGCCCACGGCCGCAGGUUGCAAGUGCGGGAGCACGUGGGGGGCAUGGAGUGGAGGAGAGCUGGCCACCGGCGGUGAUGGUGCUGAGUGACUGAGUGACAGCAGAGCAGAGCGCGGUGACACGGAGGUUACCUGAACCGAAACCCAGCCGCUGCGAAGGUACCCAUCUGAGAAAGUUACAGAAGGCAUCUCGGAUUCACAACACCCCCCGCCA